CCGGGGGAGGGUCCAUUGGAACUGGGGGAACUUGAGUGCAGAAAGAGGAGAGUGGAAAUUCCACGUGUAGCCGGUGGAAAUGCGUAGAGAAUGUGGAGGGAACACCAGUGGCGGAAGGCGAACUCUCUGGUCUGUAAACUGACGGUGAGGAGCGAAAAGCGUUGGGGAGCGAAACAGGAUUAGAUACCCCUGGUUAGUCCACGCCCGUAAAACGAUGAAGUGCUAAGUGUUAGGGGGUUUCCGCCCCCUUAGUGCUGCAGCUAACGCAUUAAGCACUCCGCCUGGGGAGUACGGUCGCAAGACUGAAACUCAAAGGAAUUGACGGGGGCCCGCACAAGCGGUGGAGCAUGUGGUUUAAUUCGAAGCAACGCGAAGAACCUUACCAGGUCUUGACAUCCUCUGACAAUCCUAGAGAUAGGACGUCCCCUUCGGGGGCAGAGUGACAGGUGGUGCAUGGUUGUCGUCAGCUCGUGUCGUGAGAUGUUGGGUUAAGUCCCGCAACGAGCGCAACCCUUGAUCUUAGUUGCCAGCAUUCAGUUGGGCACUCUAAGGUGACUGCCGGUGACAAACCGGAGGAAGGUGGGGAUGACGUCAAAUCAUCAUGCCCCUUAUGACCUGGGCUACACACGUGCUACAAUGGACAGAACAAAGGGCAGCGAAACCGCGAGGUUAAGCCAAUCCCACAAAUUUUUUGGCAGUUCGGAUCGCAGUCUGCAACUCGACUGCGUGAAGCUGGAAUCGCUAGUAAUCGCGGAUCAGCCUUCUUUUUUUUUUACGUUCCCGGGCCUUGUACACACC
rnacentral:rRNA from 1 species